rnacentral:misc_RNA from 1 species
UUUACCUAAUNCCUUCAGUCUAGCUCAGGCUGGUGCAACUCAAUGGGAGCGUUUUGUACCGUAUAGAUUCAUCGUACAACCACCAUUAGCGCUGUAUGUCUCGGCUACGGUUGGGCACCGUCGCACCGGUCGUGCGCCUUGGCCUUGGCCGUUAUUCGCUGGGAUUUGAAUUUGUCAUGUGUUUCGGUUACUUACUGUAUGUUCACUAUGUUCUCCGUCCUCGAUUUAUUCUUAUAUUUUUUGUAAGCUAUUAACUAUUAAGUAUUAUUGCUAUUUGAUAUUUUUCCUCGAAAGUUGCAAUUCUGUAUCGGUGUUGUCUAUAUAUCAUAUAUAGUAUAUACUCUGCAUAAUAUACUCCUUAGUCCUUAAUUGUUACUUGUUUAUGAUGCCAUCUAAGAACGUUUCGAAGUGUGUUGUACAUGGCUGUAAAUCCAAAGAUGUGGUCUGCCAUCGAUUUCCAAAUCCACGUUCUGAUAUGCCCAGACUUAUAGAAUGGAUUAAAAUUGUAGGUUUAGAUAACAUAGAUCCAAAUACUGUUUAUAAAACAAAAUUUAUAUGUGCUAUGCAUUUCACACCAGACUGCUCAAGUCCAGGCACCAAGCGACUUAAUGCAAAUGCAUACCCGCUUAUUAAUUUACCAAGAACCAACAUUAGCAUACCCAAGACAAUAGUGUCCCACAAUACUUUGGCUGUCAAACAAUGAUGUUUCUGAUCCGAGUUCAUCUGUGUCACACAAUAAUGACAGAGAAGUACAAAGUUUAAAAUCUACAUUAAC